rnacentral:lncRNA from 1 species
CGUCCGUCAACAUAUGUUAUUUCCUCCUCACUCUCCAAGAAUUCUCUACGCUGUUAACAAUACUGGUAAAUUUUCUCGUGUUUCCCUGUACAAAUGAAUAUCCACUGAAAAAGUUUACGCCAUUACGAGAAAAGCGAAUUGUUUACUUUUCUUUUUUUCUUCAGCUUUUGGAUGUUUUAGGGCCAAAUAUUAGGCGUAUUGAUGCUGCGGUAAUUCUAUAUGGGCGAAUUUGAUUCAUAUCAUGUUGGAUUAUUAGCGUGAUUCAAUGCCAUAAAUGUAAUUUCAUGUUGGAUUAUUAGCGUGAUUUAAUGCCAUAAAUGAAAUGGUAAAUUGCAAUUAAUUUGCGCGGAGGAUUGAAUUUGCUUUAUGAUAAUUCAUCAUCUCUUGCUGCUUUGUUUCUUAUGCUUUGUGGUUUUGUAGUGAUUACUGGUUAAGCAAAAUUGAGACGCUAUAUUGAAAUAUUAAUAUAAGCUGAUGGUUUAUUGGUUCGUGCUCGAUGAUUACUGCUUUGUUUCUUGAUUUGCCGUAAGGUAAGGAGAAUUCGAUGGAAAUAUCAUUAGUUUUUUAAGGUUGUGUUAUCUUUAGUUGUAAAUUUAUCAUGAGAAAAAAAGGGAUAAUUUUUUUUUCUACCUUUAAAACCCUCAUUUCUUUUCCCUCAUUUUCUACAAAAGAAAAAUUCGCCGCUUCUCAUUUCCUCAUUUUCACUCCAAAGAGCGAUAAUAUUAUCACCCUAAGUGUAUUUUGCAAUGCAGG